rnacentral:rRNA from 1 species
CCUACGGGGUGCUGCAGUGGGGAAUAUUGGGCAAUGGAGGAAACUCUGACCCAGCAACGCCGCGUGAAUGAUGAAGGUCUUCGGAUUGUAAAGUUCUUUUCUAAGGGAAGAAGAUAGUGACGGUACCUUAGGAAUAAGCCUCGGCUAACUACGUGCCAGCAGCCGCGGUAAUACGUAGGAGGCAAGCGUUAUCCGGAAUGACUGGGCGUAAAGGGUGCGUAGGUGGUUUAACAAGUUGGUAGCGUAACUCCGGGGCUCAAUCUCGGCACUGUUACCAAAACUGUCAGACUUGAGUGCAGGAGAGGCAAAUGGAAUUCCUAGUGUAGCGGUGGAAUGCGUAGAUAUUAGGAGGAACACCAGUGGCGAAGGCGAUUUGCUGGACUGUAACUGACGCUGAGGCGCGAAAGCGUGGGGAGCAAACAGGAUUAGAUACCCCUGUAGUC